GCGUGUGUUAAAUCGUGCGACGUGACGUGUGUACGUGUCGCGUGGUGUCUCGCGAGAUAAUAUACCGAUGAAUUUAAUGUUCGAGAAGAUCUGAUGGGAUUAGCUAUUGGUGCUCAUGAUGCAAAUAUUCAACAAGCGUGAAAAGUUGAUGACAUUACAAAUAUAGUUAGAAGAAAAUUCAUGCACAUUUAAGAUAUAUAGAGAGACGCAUGAAGCUGUUAAGAAAGACCGAUCUAUGCAGGAAUAAAGCAGUAACCUAAAAAUAGAUAGUGACAGUGUGACAGUCGUGACCAUCGCCACGUGAUAGAUGAUAGUG